rnacentral:lncRNA from 1 species
UCCGAAUCUUGAAAGUGGAAGAUCUGAUAACUUCGUCAUCGGCUAGUAGGGUUUCCUCGAGAACAGUGAUUGAAUCGGGUUUGGUGAAAUAGGUGAAGAGAAGGUAUAUUCCAUCCAAGUAUGUGUUACUCUCUCCAGCUCGGUUUUUCUUCCUUAUACCGUACGCUAACGGAAUUACACCCUUGUUGAACACUGUCACAUUCGUACCUCCCCCAGCCACCAACAACUGCACAAACCAUAAGAAUUCAAUUGUUCCUCACUAAUUACUCGAUUGUCGAUACGAACUUCGAAAACAGUCGAUUUAGAGUAUCAAUUACCUUCACACUAACAACUAACAAUGUCGACUACAAUACGCAGCCGGAAAUUUUCAUGCGCCGCGCAGUAAUAAUAUAUAAGCUCUGAUUCUAUAUCAAUUGAACUCAUCUUUCCUAACAUAUAAUACACCAAACUUUCAAUUCAUCACACACACACACACACACACCAAAUUACCAAAAUACCUGAUCAAAUAAUGUAUGUCACACACUGCAAUUUAAUAUUUUUCAUCCGAAGAACCCUAAAUCUCUACUAGCAUAUAUCAAUUUCACCCAAACAAAGAACCCCAAAUCUCUACUAAAAGAAAAAAGAAAUAAUUUUUAUUACCUGAUUAUAUUUGUGGGUGAAGUUGAGGCGCUCAUCCUCGGACAUGUCGGGCCUUAAGACGACCAUAGUUUCGUACGUUCGUAGGCCCGGGGGGCACUGUGGCUCCACCUUGUCCCCCAUCUCCGGAAACCCCGUCUCCGGUAUCUCCGGCGUCGGAGGGGCGGCGCCGCCUCCUAAUUCCCUCUCGAAAAAUGAGAUGUCGAACAGCGCCUUCACGGCGGCGGACGGAGGGUUUGGUCGUAUCCCGAGAUGGGGAAUUUUAAUGGGGUUUUUGGAAUUGAGAGAUGAGAGAGAAGGCGGUUUUGGGUGUGGGUGGGCAAGAGGUGGUUUACGGAUCACGACGGCGCGGAAGGAGGUAGAAGCCGACGCCAUUGAUGCUUAGCUAGCUUGGUGUUGUUUCCCCUUCUUUUCUUGAUACUUUUAUUAAUAGAAAGUUAUAAGGAUUAAUUAUUUGAAUUUUUACUUUUUUUUUGUCUACUUGAGUAAUUUAAUAAUUUUGUUGGCCAAAAGAUCCCUCAUCUUCUCAAACGCUACAUUUCGUUUUUCUAACUAAAUUGAAUCAACUGAUUUCUGAGUUGUGCUUCAAUUGAUUGAACUGAUUCAAACAGUCAACUAAUUCAAAAUCAGUUGAAUCAACCAAUUUAAAUCACGACUCGAUUGUAAAUCAGUUUAAGUGACAUAAUAAACCAAUUAACUAUUUUUAAAUUAGUAGAUCCUAGAGGGAGGGGAGAGGGAUAAUCGAAUCAAAUUAGUCUACUAAACUAAUUUGUAAGAGUUUUUCUUACAAAAAUAAAAAUAAUAACAAUAUUUUGUUAAGUUAAAAGAGGGAAUUGACAAACUCAAAAUAAGUAUAUGCCCUUAGGGCAUAUCCGACCGGACGCAAUAACGCCAUUUUUUCAUCUAAUUUAGGUGUUUUUAGCUUCCCACUCGAAGUUCUUAUAUCACCAUUACACCUAAAAUUAUAGAGAUUUGGUUUUAGCCUCCCACCGUGGCCAACCCCGAUAUCACCAAAUACUCAAAUUCUAUUUUUCCACCAAAAUUUUUGGUGAAAGAAUUUUCAUCUCUCACCGGUCCACCAUUUUCCUAUUUUUUCCACCAAAUCCUAUUUUUCCUACCAAAUAUAGAGGUGAAAAUAGGAUUUGCCGUAAUUAACACCAUUUUAUUAAGUACCAUAUAAAAUGACGAUUUUAAUUAAUUGCACCCGAUUACCAACUUAUUAACAUAUUUAUCGUAAAUACAUUGGUAUUAAUUAUUAAACUAGUUUUUAAAAUAUAAACACAUUUGUUAUUAUUAACAAAAUAUUAAUUCUAAUAAUAUAAAUAUGCUUAUUUUUAAUUAAUCUGCAUAUUUUGUUGGUAUCAAUGUUUAUUAGUUCAUUUCUUUACUUAACUAAUACGCUAAUUGCUAUUAAUAAAAUAUAAUAAGUAACAAUAAAAUAAUUAACGAAACACACUUUAAUUGAUGAAAUACAGGACGAGACAUUUGUAGACAUUUAAUAGAAUGAUAACAUAAUUUGUAAAUUAUAUAGUUAAGAAAAUUUAUCUAUAAUUAAUAUUUAUGAAAUAAAAUAUUAUAAAAUUACGAUUAAAGAUUUACAUUUUUUGUGCAAAUAUGGUGAAAUGCCAUGGGAGACCAAACCAAAUCCCAUUUCCUAUAAGGGGUGAAAUGGUGAAAUAUUAUUAUUUUAAUAUUUGGUCUAAAUUUUGGUGAAACCCAUUGGAGACCAAAAAUACCAUUUUUCCACCAAAAAUGGUGGAGGAGUAAAAUGGUGCGCUACCGGUGGGAGAUGAACCCAUUUUUUCACCACCAUAAAUAGGAUUUGGUGAAAAAAUGGUGAGACCGGUCGGAGAUGCUCUUACAUCAAAAGAAAUUAGGUCCCGUCUAAGGGACUUUUCAAUAAUCCUAUAUCGAGUAUCAGGAUUUGUAAAAAAAAAAAAAAGAAAAAAGAAAAAAAAAACCAAAUUUGGGUAGAUAUACUCGAAACUAUAUUUUUUUUUUGAAAAAUAUAUAAUCUUAACUUGUAACCAAAAGGUCCAAAAUUGUUGUCGUCCCUAUUGAUAAUGGUUGAAUCAUUAACACUAAUAGUAAAACUUCAACAUACAGAGUCCCCAAAGGAUAAUCAAGCAGUUGGUAAAUCAAUUUGUGUUAAUUGACCCAAGUUCGAAUCAAUUUGCCAACGGUCAUUAAAUCGAGUUUGUCACACGUGAAUAGUGUGGUUUACAUUCGUCGUAUGGUUUGCAAGUUAUUAUACGAUGGUCUAGAGAAUUGUGUUUGAAUAAACAUUUGCAACAAUAAUCUAUCAGAAGGGAAGGAGAAUUAGCCUUCGAUAAAUAACAAAACAUGACUUGCAAGAAGUUUGAUACAAGAAUCAUUAAAACCGAACAUCAUUACAAAAGGUUAUGUAACUACACAGGAAUGUCGAAUUUACGCACCUCCUAAUCCGAAAUCUGAGGUAUACGAAUUUGUUCUGUUCACCUCUCUGCCCAAAUUUCUACAUUGAAUAAUUCAAAAUCGGAAAAUAGGUAUUAUUAUUAUCAUCUCCUCAAAACAGCUUCCUUUUCCUAAUCUUGAAAGUCGAUGAUCUGAUAACUUCGUCAUCGGCUAGUAGCGUGUCUUCGAGAACGGUGAUUGAAUCGGGUUUGGUGAAAUAGGUGAAGAGAAGGUAUAUUCCAUCCAAGUACGUGUUACUUUCUCCAGCUUUGUUUUUCUUCCUUAUACCGUACGCCAACGGGAUUACGCCUCUAUUGAAC